CUUUUCCACACUCAAUCUCAACGGAUAGAGAAGGUGGCUGCCCCUUUUGAGAGCCGCGGGCGGGUGAGAAAAACCUAGGAAUCUCCUCGUAGUGGGGGGAUAACGCUCGGAAAAGACACUAAUACCGCAUAUCUCCUGCGGGAGAAAAGCGGGGGACCUUUGGGCCUUUCAUAUCAGAUGAGCCUAAGUCUGGUUAUAUAGUUUGUGAGGUAAAUGCUCACCAAGGCGACGAUCCGUUACUGGUUUGAGAGGAUGAUCAGUCACACUGGAAAUGAGACACGGUCCAGACUCCUUCGGGAGGCAGCAGUGGGGAAUAUUGGACAAUGGGAGAAAGCCUGAUCCAGCCAUGCCGCGUGUGUGAAGAAGGUCUUUGGAUUGUAAAGCACUUUAAGUUGGGAGGAAGGGCAUUAACCUAAUACGUUAGUGUUUUGACGUUACCGACAGAAUAAGCACCGGCUAACUUUGUGCCAGCAGCCGCGGUAAUACAGAGGGUGCAAGCGUUAAUUGGAAUUACUGGGCGUAAAGCGCGCGUAGGUGGUUUGUUAAAUUGGAUGUGAAAUCCCCGGGCUCAACCUGGGAACUGCAUUCAAAACUGUCGAGCUAGAGUAUGGUAGAGGGGGGUGGAAUUUCCUGUGUAGCGGUGAAAUGCGUAGAUAUAGGAAGGAACACCCGUGGGGAAGGGGACCCCCCGGGCUGAUACUGACACUGAGGUGGGAAAGCGUGGGGAGCAAACAGGAUUAGAUACCCUGGUAGUCCCCCCCGUAAACGAUGUCAACUAGCCGUUGGGAGCCUUGAGCUUUUAGUGGCGCAGCUAACGCAUUAAAUUGACCGCCUGGGGAGUACGGCCGCAAGGUUAAAAAUCAAAUGAAUUGACGGGGGCCCGCCCAAGCGGUGGAGCAUGUGGUUUAAUUUGAAGCAACGCGAAGAACCUUACCAGGCCUUGACAUCCAAUGAACUUCCAGAGAUGGAUUGGGCCUCGGAACCCAACCCCGG
rnacentral:rRNA from 1 species